GAUGAACGCUGGCGGCGUGCUUAACACAUGCAAGUCGAACGGUGAACGAGGGAGCUUGCUCCCUCCGGAUCAGUGGCGAACGGGUGAGUAACACGUGAGCAAUCUGCCCUGGACUCUGGGAUAAGCGUUGGAAACGACGUCUAAUACCGGAUACGAGGCGUGGGGGCAUCCCCAACGCCUGGAAAGAACUUCGGUCCAGGAUGAGCUCGCGGCCUAUCAGCUUGUUGGUGAGGUAACGGCUCACCAAGGCGACGACAGGUAGCCGGCCUGAGAGGGUGACCGGCCACACUGGGACUGAGACACGGCCCAGACUCCUACGGGAGGCAGCAGUGGGGAAUAUUGCACAAUGGGCGCAAGCCUGAUGCAGCAACGCCGCGUGAGGGACGACGGCCUUCGGGUUGUAAACCUCUUUUAGCAGGGAAGAAGCGAAAGUGACGGUACCUGCAGAAAAAGCACCGGCUAACUACAUGCCAGCCGCCGCAGUAA
rnacentral:rRNA from 1 species